rfam:Cordyceps confragosa RCEF 1005 scaffold_1, whole genome shotgun sequence.
GGCCGCGUGGCCUAAUGGCUAAGGCGCUAGAUUUCGGCCAACCGAUUUCCGUAAUCUCUAGAGAUUCCAGGUUCGACUCCUGGCGUGGUCG